UAAUUUCAUUUCCCUUAUUCUCCACUGCAUCAACCCUAUUUCAGCUAAAAAAUAUUGACCUUCUCCUUGUUGAAUCCUUGCUUCCUCCGAUAUCUACUUUGGAUCAUUAACGAUGUGCCCUGGAUGCAUGCUGCUGCUACUUGUAUCAACUCUCAGAACUGUGUUCUCCGGUGGAUGGAAUAUUUCUCAUGUUCUUGUGCUCUAUUAAGGGAUUUAGGUUCCUGAAUGGUAUUCUAGAUCCAAUUACGGCCGAUAUGGAGAUAAUGAGAUGCUUGGAACCGUAAGUAAUUGGACUAUAAUGAUUCUUUUGGGUGUAAUGAUUUCAAGUAUCUCACAUGACCCUCCCAUUUUGCUGCGAAUUCUUUUUGAUGGCUGACAUGGAUUAGG